rnacentral:rRNA from 1 species
ACUCAAAGGAAUUGACGGGGGCCCGCACAAGCGGCGGAGCAUGCGGAUUAAUUCGAUGCAACGCGAAGAACCUUACCUGGGUUUGACAUCGCCGGAAAUCUUCCAGAGAUGGGGGGUCCUUCGGGGUCGGUGACAGGUGGUGCAUGGCUGUCGUCAGCUCGUGUCGUGAGAUGUUGGGUUAAGUCCCGCAACGAGCGCAACCCUCGUUCGAUGUUGCCAGCGGUUCGGCCGGGGACUCAUCGGAGACUGCCGGGGUCAACUCGGAGGAAGGUGGGGAUGACGUCAAGUCAUCAUGCCCCUUAUGUCCAGGGCUUCACGCAUGCUACAAUGGCUGGUACAAAGGGUGGCGAUACUGUGAGGUGGAGCGAAUCCCAAAAAGCCGGUCUCAGUUCGGAUCGGGGUCUGCAACUCGACCCCGUGAAGUCGGAGUCGCUAGUAAUCGCAGAUCAGCAACGCUGCGGUGAAUACGUUCCCGGGCCUUGUACACACCGCCCGU